AUAAAUUCCAGUGACAUGCAAUUUUUGUAAUAGCAAAAUAUUUGUAAGAAACUGCAAACAAAUGCAAAUAUGCAGUCGAUGUGUGGAAUGCGACAACAUUAUACUCGAUAAUUUCAAUUAUUGCGAGUGUUGUGGCUUAGAAACAAUUAGGCAGUUAAGAAUAAACAAGGCUCGGGCACUAUCAAACCUUUUUCCUAAAAAGCAAAAAGCUGCUUCUGCUGCAUCACAAGAUUUAUUUGAUGACUUUCAGGUUGAUAACGAAGAGUUGACGCUAAUCGAGGAUUCAUUGAUGAUUGAUGAUGCUUCUUCGGACAACAAGAAAAAACAGCUACUGUCAGUCAGCAGUGAUGAUGCUUCUUCGGACAAUAAGGAAAAACAGCUGCUGUCAGUCGGCAGUGAUUUUAUUUCUUUAGAAGAAGAAGAGAAAGAAAACAUAUCAAAUAAAUGGCGGGCAGACCCCCGAAAAAGCGUAAAUAUUGAAGCAGGUUUAGUACAGAAUAUCAGCACCCCAGGACUAACUAUUUAUAUUUAGCACUUUCAAAUAACACCAUUCAAGUAUCAGUACAUUCAGUUGGUUCUAUGAUUUAUGAAUGUGUUCAAUGUCAAGCACUUCAUUUUUUAGGUGAAAAAAUUAAAAAUCAUUUUAAAAAUUGUUGUCAUAAUGGGAAGGUAUACAUAGACCCAGACAGAGUCUUAAAGCCAAUUCCAGAAAUAUUAUUAGCAUUUUUUUUAAUUAAACAGAACAGAUGAAAGUGCUCGACAAUAUCUUUACACUGAAAUUCCGACACAUUUAAGAUUUAUCCAUGGACAGUGGCAACCACGAAUAUCUCAGUCAGCGGCUGAUAAAGUAAUUGCAAGAAUGUAUAAUUAUUCCUUUUCUGAUCGGGAACGAUAUUAUCUCCGGCUAUUACUUCUUCACGUCAAAGGGCCGACUUGCUUCAGAGAUGUUAGAACUUAUUAAUAUGAAAAUAUU